rnacentral:snRNA from 1 species
GUGCUUGCCUCAGCAGCACAUAUACUAAAAUUGGAAUGAGACAGAGAUGAUUAGCAUGGCCCCCGUGCAAGAAUGACAGGCAAAUUCAUGAAGCAUUCCAUAUUUUU